GCUUUCCUGCGGUGUUCGAUUACGGUUCUAAUUUCCUUGAACCUAGCUUAUCCUUCGGUCGCCAGCCACGAAGCGCCUGUUGUGAGCAUUCCUCGUUGAAUGCACCUGAUGGCGCACGGCCAGCGGCCCCUUGAACCUCCGGGUUCAGGAUAUGAACCGACCGGCACUCGCGGGAAGCCC
rnacentral:other from 1 species